rnacentral:rRNA from 1 species
UACAGAGGUCCCAAGCGUUGUUCGGAUUCACUGGGCGUAAAGGGUGCGUAGGCGGUCGGGUAAGUCUGAUGUGAAAUCUCACAGCUUAACUGUGAAACUGCAUUGGAUACUAUCCGGCUUGAGCAAGCUAGGGGGCAAUGGAAUUCCCGGUGUAGUGGUGGAAUGCGUAGAUAUCGGGAGGAACACCAGUGGCGAAGGCGGUUGCCUGGGGCUUUGCUGACGCUGAUGCGCGAAAGCGUGGGGAGCGAUCCGG